UACGGAGGUGGCAAGCGUUGCUCGGAAUCACUGGGCGUAAAGGGCGCGUAGGCGGGGAGGUAAGUCGGGUGUGAAAUCCCUCGGCCCAACUGAGGAACUGCGCCCGAGACUGCUUCUCUUGAGUCCCGGAGAGGAAGAUGGAAUUCCCGGUGUAGCGGUGAAAUGUGUAGAGAUCGGGAGGAACACCGGUGGCGAAGGCGGCGACCUGGGCCAAUACUGACGCUGAGGUGCGAAAGCGUGGGGAGCAAACAGG
rnacentral:rRNA from 1 species